rnacentral:rRNA from 1 species
GAUGAACGCUAGCGGCAGGCCUAACACAUGCAAGUCGAGGGGUAUAAAGUGCUUGCACUUUAGAGACCGGCGCACGGGUGCGUAACGCGUAUGCAAUCUACCUAUUGCAGGGGAAUAGCCCAGAGAAAUUUGGAUUAAUGCCCCAUAGUACUAUUGAAUAGCAUUAUUUAAUAGUUAAAGAUUUAUCGGCAAUAGAUGAGCAUGCGUCCUAUUAGCUAGUUGGUGUGGUAACGGCACACCAAGGCAACGAUAGGUAGGGGUCCUGAGAGGGAGAUCCCCCACACUGGUACUGAGACACGGACCAGACUCCUACGGGAGGCAGCAGUGAGGAAUAUUGGACAAUGGGCGAGAGCCUGAUCCAGCCAUGCCGCGUGCAGGAAGACUGCCUUAUGGGUGGUAAACUGCUUUUAUACAGGAAGAAACAUCCCG